rnacentral:rRNA from 1 species
AUUGAACGCUGGCGGCAUGCCUUACACAUGCAAGUCGAACGGCAGCACGGGAGCAAUCCUGGUGGCGAGUGGCGAACGGGUGAGUAAUAUAUCGGAACGUGCCCAGUCGGGGGGGAUAACACAGCGAAAGCUGUGCUAAUACCGCAUACGAUCUACGGAUGAAAGCGGGGGAUCGCAAGACACCGCGCGAAUGGAGCGGCCGAUAUCAGAUUAGCUAGUUGGUGAGGUAAAGGCUCACCAAGGCGACGAUCUGUAGAUGGUCUGAGAGCACGCCCAGCCACACUGGAACUGCGACACGGUCCAGACUCCGACGGGAGUCAGCAGUGAGUAAUUUUGGACAAUGGGCGCAAGCCUGAUCCAGCAAUUCCGCGUGCAGGAUGAAGGCCUUCGGGUUGUAAACUGCUUUUGUACGGAGCGAAACGGUCUUUCCUAAUACGAGAGGCUAAUGACGGUACCGUAAGAAUAAGCACCGGCUAACUACGUGCCAGCCGCCGCCGUAACAC